UACAUAGGUCUCAAGCGUUGUUCGGAUUCAUUGGGCGUAAAGGGUGCGUAGGCGGCGCGGUAAGUCGGGUGUGAAAUCUCGGAGCUUAACUCCGAAACUGCAUUCGAUACUGCCGUGCUUGAGGACUGGAGAGGAGACUGGAAUUUACGGUGUAGCGGUGAAAUGCGUAGAUAUCGUAAGGAAGACCAGUGGCGAAGGCGGGUCUCUGGACAGUUCCUGACGCUGAGGCACGAAGGUCAGGGGAGCAAACGGG
rnacentral:rRNA from 1 species